GUUUACUUUAGUGGCACAUAUACAAAAACCAGAACGACACAGAAAAGAUUAGCCUGGUCCCUGUGCAAGCAUGUCCUGUUAGUCGAUGCAGCAUUCGGGAUUUGG